UAGAACAUAUUGGUAUUGAAGGAACUAGAUACUGUUCCGAAAUAUCACUUACUCGAACCGUCCUGACCGCGUAGCUCAGUUGGAAGAGCAUUGGGCUGGUAUUCCAAAGGUCGUAGGUUCGAAUCCCACCGUGGCCGGGCAUAUUUUCAAGCUCGCCCGGUGUGGAUAUGCACUCAGAGUAACAUGCAAACAUAUUAUUCACCUGAGUACACAACACCAACACAGAGAAAAAAGAAAUUCAUAUUACUAGAAGAUAUUGGUAUUGAAGGAACCAGAUACUGUUCCGAAAUAUCACUUACUCGAACCGUCCUGACUGCGUAGCUCAGUUGGAAGAGCAUUGGGCUAGUAUUCCAAAGGUUGUAGGUUCGAAUCCCACCGUCGCCGGGCAUAUUUUUCAAGCUCGCCCGGUGUGGAUAUGCACUCUGAGUAACAUCGCAAACAUAUUAUUCACCUGAGUACACAACACCAACACAGAGAAAAAAAAUUCAUAUUAC